rnacentral:tRNA from 1 species
ACUAUGGCUCAGUCGGUAGAGCAACUGAUUCGUAAUCAGUAGGUCGCCGGUUCGAUUCCGGCUAGU